ensembl:lncRNA
AGCAGACAGAGAAAAAUGUCCAGGGGACCGAGCACGUUACCAGAAAGCAGAGGGUGCACGCAGGGUUGACGCUGCGUCCAAAAGGGGCCGUUUCAUCCACCUAAAUUAGGAUUAAUUGCAAUGGAGACGAGAAGGGUCAGGGAGGCCGGAGCACCUGCUGCAGAGGAGCAGAAGAUCCGAAAAGGAGAGACCCACGCUGACUCUACACUGGGCUCUGCUUGCAACGUGGCGCCUGAAUCCCUCUCCUGUUACCGACGUGGGGUAGACCAAUGGCAGGGAUCGUUUCCCUGGAAGAGGCGGGGUCCGGCAUGAAAC